UGUAUAGAUACAUGUCCAUGUAUGCAUUGUUCCCAUUUGGGUUGGGCGAGAGGAGCGAGAAGAUGGUGAGUUCAGUGAGAUGGGGCUACGUUCGGAUCAUCACAGGUACCCUCGUCGGAGGCAUUCUAGGGUUUUACGUAAUGCACCGAGCUGAGCUUAGCUACAAGGAGAAGUGGAACGAGAGAUUGAAGAAGUAUGAAGAAGAACUCAAUAAGAAGAAAGAGAAGGCUAAUGAGCUUGAAGAGUCACUCUAAGAAUUAUGUGAACUACAUUAUUUAUGACACUAUUAUCUUGUAUUGAUGAGUUAUAAGACCUCAGACUGUGCUCUUGAGAAAAUGGUAGAGAGAGCUACAAAGAAAUCAUUUAAUCUUGUGAAUUGUGAUGGGUAGGAUGGUCUAUGACUUUAUUCAAUGGCUUGCCAAUAAGAACAAGAAGGAACCCGUGUUUUGUAAGUUCUUAUUCUUCUGUUCUCGUUAUUGUUAUUGUUAUUGUUGAAGAUGAAAAGGCAGGCACGGAAAGAUAUUUCUAUGUAAUUAAAAUUACGUGGAGGGAGAAGUGAUGGUCGUAAAAUUUGAUGAAGGGAUGCAGCUGUGGACUGAUGUCGCUUAAAAUCUUUCUAUUCUAGUGUGGAAACUAUGUUGCCGGCAAGGAAGCACGGGUACGAGUACGGUACGGGUACGAGUGCGGGUAUGCCGAUUCGGCAAAACUCAAAAAAAGUACGAUACGGGUACGGCUACGGUACGCCAAUAUUUUUUUAUUUUUUUUUAAAUAUAAUUUUGAUUAAAGGAUCCAACCUACAAAUUAAAAUUAAAUAUCAAAACUAAAAAAAGAACUAUUUAUUUUCCUAUAAUUUAAAACUAUUAAGCGUUAAAAAUAAUAUUUGUGAAAUCUCUCACUUUGAUAUGUUAUGCACUGUGAAUUUGUGAUCAUAAUUUAUUUUUAAAAUCUUUCUUUUUGCUCAUCAAUUUGUUAUUUUUAUAGGAUGAGACCAAAGAAAUAAUAGGAGACCAAAGAAAGAUUUAAAGUUAAUUACCAACAAUAAAGGAAAAAAAUUCUCAAUUGGUGCAGGUUGUUAAUUGCAAUUUGCAUAAUAUAUAAAAUUGCAUCAUUCCCAACAACUACUAAUCAACUAAUACAGUAUCAAUUUUUAAUGUUUUGUGCAUAAACUUUAAAAGUUUGUUAUGAUUAAAGAUUUUAUAAAGAAAUUCUAGGAGGAUCUAAAGCAAAAGCAUAAUGCAUAGUCAUAUACAGAACUACUCUUUAUAGGCCUUGUUAUUUUUUUUGGUUCAAAUUGCUUUUUAAAAACAUUAAAAUCAUUUGUUGAUAUGCUUCUACAAUUUAUACAGACAAACAGGACAACAGAGAAACAUCAAAAUUAGUGAUCUGCAAGGGCACCAAAAAAAAUAAAAAAUAAUAAUAAUAAUUGCUAAUUUGCAAGGGCAGGAAAAAAAAAAAAUAAAAAAAAUUGGCCUUGGCGUACCCAUGGCGUGCCCACGCUGUACCCAUGGCGUACCCAUGUCGUACCCGAAUAAGCCAAACGUACCGGACCUUCUUUUGCCGUACCCGGUACGCGUACUGCCGUACCGGUACGCCUACCCGCACCCGGUAAGUACCCGGUACUCGUACGGCACUAUUUUUGAAGUACCAGUGCUUCAUAGGUUGCCGGCUUAGAUAGAGCCUAAUCCUAUUUCCAGACCCUCUUUUACAAAAACCUAACAAGUCAUUGACCAUUUUGAUCCCUUAUUAUUCCACUGUAAUAGAAUGGUACUAAACAAGUUUUCCAGCAUACAGCCAUGAAUAAUAAACAGAUUAUUUUCCCAAGUAUCUUUAUUCCACAAAACCAGUUCAUUUCAUGCAGUUCAAGUCCACUACUCUUUUUUGGUCUUUUCUUCAUGAAUUUUGUUUGGUUGGCACUUGGCAGCAAGCUUAAAAUCUUGAGCUUUUUGCUUGAUGAAAAGGGUAGGAGGGGGAGAUGGACAACCGUGGCAAUGGCAAUCAUCAUUGGACAUGAUAAAAAAUGGCCUUAAUUGUUGGACAGAAGAGGCCUAGACAGACCUGACAAAGUAGGGAUACCGUACACAGGGGAACCAUAUGGUGUUCCCUCAGGACAAACUUGAGCCAUAGCCUGACCUAAUCCAACCAAGGUUCUAGCAUGGGAAACCCCGGAACUAUGUUGUCGAGAGACUCAAUCCAAAACCACUUGCUCACCAAAAUUAGGAUUUGUGAAGAAUGGGCAACAUCAUGGAGAACUCCAGACUCAGCAAGAGAACACCCUACAUCAAUAUUCAAGUUAGUGGGGGGCCUGAAGUUCAGGAAAACUGCCAUAUGUCUACAAAGGAAUGAAAGAUGAAAAAAUUGUAAAUCAGUGGGACAGUGAAAAAAUAAUUACACUACAGAUAAAAAAUAAAAAAAAAAAAAAUUAGUGCAACUUUGAUAAAUGAGUUGCACCAAACCAAACACAAAAAGAACUUGUACCACGCACACAUGCCACUUUUAUCACCAUAAAAAUGAAAAUAUUCUCUCACUGGCCUACUGAUUUGUAAUUUCCUCAUCAAAGAUUGAUGUGGUGGUUAUUGCUUUUAAUUAUGUGGAGGAGAUUGAGCUCAUUGCUAAGUGUCUCUUGCAACUAUUAGAAUGUGUAGGAAGAUUGAACUGGAGGCCUGUUUGCCGCAAUUUCUACCAAGCAAAAAUUAAUCUACUACAAUUUUAAAAAUGUGAAAAGUUUGUCA